CGGAAGCGAAAGCCUCUCCACCUCUUCCGAGCGGGGUCACGGCCCGGCCGUCGGUAACCUGGUUUCCGAGAGUGCCGGGCGGUCGGCGGGUCAGGGCAGCCCGGGGCCUGACGCCAUGUCCCGGAACCUGCGCACCGCGCUCAUUUUCGGCGGCUUCAUCUCCCUGAUCGGCGCCGCCUUCUAUCCCAUCUAUUUCCGGCCCCUAAUGAGAUUGGAGGAGUACAAAGAAACCUGGAUUCUAGCAAUCGCUGGGUGCCUGGCACUGUGCUGGGUGUGGACUGCACCUAACCAAACAGCAUGAGAAGGAACAAGCUAUAAAUCGGGCUGGAAUUGUUCAAGAGGAUGUGCAGCCACCAGGGUUAAAAGUGUGGUCUGAUCCAUUUGGCAGGAAAUGAGAGGGCUGUCAUCAGCUCUGAUUAAGAAAGGAGAUUUCUUCAUGCUUUAGAUUCUGCAUGGGGUACAGUCAGUCACCUCACCAGAGAAUGACGGCUGGAGAAGAAAACUCUGUAAUACCAUAAAUAAGAGUGCUUGUAAUAAAAGACUGUGCACAAGGAUUAAUAUUUCCCUUCUUAAGUAUCAAAAGAACUCUGGAACAAAUUAUACCAUUAGGAAGGUUUUCAUGAUUCAGUUGAUUUUUCCAAAAAUGAAGCUAUCUCACCCAGCUGGGUUUGGAGGAGCAAUCUGCUUAUUAUUCUGUCGUUACCACUUACUCAAGCGAGCUGUGAUAUGAAUACAAGCAACCAGUGGGCUCGGGAAGGUCCGGGUCUCUUUUGCCAUCUUCCAGAUAAGAGAUUUCAGUAAAAAACUGCCAUGCUGAGCUGCCUUAUAGAGCUCUUCGAAAAUGUUCGAGUUGAUAAAGCUCUUUGAGGACAAGGUACUUCGUGCACCUCAUGCUGAAGAUUGCACCAUGUUGGAAAAUAAAUAUGAAGCAAGUCAAACUAGAUGCAUACACUUGUGUAGAAAUCAAUAAUCAAUUAAUAGAAGUGAAAAAAUAGACAUUAAAAUGAUUUAUUUCUA